UACGUAGGCAGCGAGCGUUGUUCGGAGUUACUGGGCGUAAAGCGUGCGUAGGCGGUGUCUUAAGUUUGUUGUGAAAUCUCCCGGCUUAACCGGGAGGGUGCGGCGAAUACUGAGAUGCUGGAGUGCCGGAGAGGUAAGCGGAAUUCCUGGUGUAGCGGUGAAAUGCGUAGAUAUCAGGAGGAACACCGGUGGCGAAGGCGGCAUUCUGGACCAUAACUGACACUGAGAGACGAAAGCCAGGGGAGCAAACGGG
rnacentral:rRNA from 1 species